rnacentral:rRNA from 1 species
AACUGAGACACGGUCCAGACUCUUACGGGAGGCAGCAGUGAGGAAUAUUGGUCAAUGGACGAAAGUCUGAACCAGCCAAGUAGCGUGCAGGAUGACGGCCCUCUGGGUUGUAAACUGCUUUUAGUUGGGAAUAAAAAAGAGGACGUGUCCUCUAUUGUAUGUACCUUCAGAAAAAGGACCGGCUAAUUCCGUGCCAGCAGCCGCGGUAAUACGGAAGGUCCAGGCGUUAUCCGGAUUUAUUGGGUUUAAAGGGAGCGUAGGCGGAUUAUUAAGUCAGUGGUGAAAGACGGUGGCUCAACCAUCGUUAGCCAUUGAAACUGGUAGUCUUGAGUGCAGACAGGGAUGCUGGAACUCGUGGUGUAGCGGUGAAAUGCUUAGAUAUCACGAUGAACUCCGAUCGCGAAGGCAGGUGUCCGGGCUGCAACUGACGCUGAGGCUCGAAAGUGUGGGUAUCAAACAGGAUUAGAUACCCUGGUAGUCCACACAGUAAACGAUGUAUACUCGCGGUUUGCGAUAUAUUGUAAGCC